AUUGAACGCUGGCGGCAGGCUUAACACAUGCAAGUCGAGCGGAAACGGAGGUAGCUUGCUACCAGACGUCGAGCGGCGAACGGGUGAGUAACGCGUAGGAAUCUACCUAGUAGAGGGGGAUAGCCCGGGGAAACUCGGAUUAAUACCGCAUACGCCCUAAGGGGGAAAGCAGGGGAUCUUCGGACCUUGCGCUAUUAGAUGAGCCUGCGUCGGAUUAGCUAGUUGGUAGGGUAAAGGCCUACCAAGGCGACGAUCCGUAGCUGGUCUGAGAGGAUGAUCAGCCACACUGGAACUGAGACACGGUCCAGACUCCUACGGGAGGCAGCAGUGGGGAAUAUUGGACAAUGGGGGCAACCCUGAUCCAGCCAUGCCGCGUGUGUGAAGAAGGCCUUCGG
rnacentral:rRNA from 1 species